rnacentral:rRNA from 1 species
UACGUAGGGGGCAAGCGUUGUCCGGAUUUACUGGGUGUAAAGGGCGCGCAGGCGGGUUUGAAAGUCAGAGGUGAAAGCCUACAGCUUAACUGUAGAAUUGCCUUUGAUACUUUAAACCUUGAGUACGGAAGAGAGAGACGGAAUUCCAGGUGUAGUGGUGAAAUACGUAGAUCUCUGGAAGAACACCAGUUGCGAAGGCGGUCUCUUGGUCCGUUACUGACGCUCAGGCGCGAAAGCGUGGGUAGCAAACAGG